UAUUGGACAAUGGGCGCAAGCCUGAUCCAGCCAUGCCGCGUGGGUGAUGAAGGCCUUAGGGUUGUAAAGCCCUUUCGGCGGGGAAGAUAAUGACGGUACCCGCAGAAGAAGCCCCGGCUAACUUCGUGCCAGCAGCCGCGGUAAUACGAAGGGGGCUAGCGUUGCUCGAAUCACUGGGCGAAAGCGCACGUAGGCGGCUUUCUAAGUCAGGGGUAAAUCCUGAGCUCAACUCCAGACUGCCUUUAUACUGGAAGCUUAGUUCGGAGAGGUGGGUGAACUGCAGUGAAGGUAAAUUCGAGUUUCGCAAGACACCAGUGGCAAGCGCUACUGCCCGUCUGCGUGGUAAAGACGUA
rnacentral:rRNA from 1 species